rnacentral:rRNA from 1 species
CCUACGGGUGGCAGCAGUGAGGAAUAUUGGUCAAUGGACGAGAGUCUGAACCAGUCAAGUAGCGUGAAGGAUGACUGCCCUAUGGGUUGUAAACUUCUUUUAUAUGGGAAUAAAAUGUUCCACGUGUGGGAUUUUGUAUGUACCAUAUGAAUAAGGAUCGGCUAACUCCGUGCCAGCAGCCGCGGUAAUACGGAGGAUCCGAGCGUUAUCCGGAUUUAUUGGGUUUAAAGGGAGCGUAGGUGGAUUGUUAAGUCAGUUGUGAAAGUUUGCGGCUCAACCGUAAAAUUGCAGUUGAAACUGGCAGUCUUGAGUACAGUAGAGGUGGGCGGAAUUCGUUGUGUAGCGGUGAAAUGCUUAGAUAUCACGAAGAACUCCGAUUGCGAAGGCAGUUCACUGGACUGCAACUGACACUGAGGCUCGAAAGUGUGGGUAUCAAACAGGAUUAGAUACCCUUGUAGUC